GACUCCAUGAAGCUGGAUUCGCUAGUAAUCGCGCAUCAGCCACGGCGCGGUGAAUACGUUCCCGGGCCUUGUACACACCGCCCGUCAAGCCAUGAAAGCCGGGGGUACCUGAAGUGCGUAACCGCGAGGAGCGCCCUAGGGUAAAACUGGUGAUUGGGGCUAAGUCGUAACAAGGUACC
rnacentral:rRNA from 1 species